rnacentral:lncRNA from 1 species
CAACUGCAGUACCACCAGCAACAAUAUCUGCAGGACCAUCAGCAUCGCAUCAAGAUUUUCUGCAAUAUCGCUCCCAGCACCCAGGUCCAAUAUCUCCAAGAGCUUUUUACCGGUGGAGUCAAUAUGGGGGAGAUGAUCCCUCCUUUAGAUGGAGGAGACAAGCCCCAUAUGACACCACUGGUAGAAGGAGGGGUGCUGGAAAGCGGUUUAACUCUUUUAAUUUCUACUAGUAGCUUUUUUAAACUACUG